rnacentral:misc_RNA from 2 species
AGCAGCCGCGGUAAUUCCAGCUCCAAUAGCGUAUAUUAAAGUUGUUGCAGUUAAAAAGCUCGUAGUUGAAUUUCGGGGUUAGCAGGUCGGUCGUGCCAUUGGUAUGAACUGGUCUCGCUGAUCCCUCCCUCUUGACGAACUGUGAUGCCAUUAAUUUGGUGUCGCAGGGAAUCAGGACUGUUACUUUGAAAAAUUAGAGUGUUUAAAGCAGGCUCACGCUUGAAUACAUUAGCAUGGAAUAAUGAAAUAGGACGUUUGAUCCUAUUUUGUUGGCUUCUAGGAUUGACGUAAUGAUUAAUAGGGAUAGUUGGGGGCAUUAGUAUUCAAUUGUCAGAGGUGAAAUUCUUGGAUUUAUUGAAGACUAACUACUGCGAAAGCAUUUGCCAAGGAUGUUUUCAUUAAUCAAGAACGAAAGUUAGGGGAUCGAAGACGAUCAGAUACCGUCGUAGUCUUAACCAUAAACUAUGCCGACUAGGGAUCGGAUGAUGUUAAUUUUUAAUGA